AGUGAACGCUGGCGGCAGGCCUAACACAUGCAAGUCGAACGGCAGCAUAAGAGAGCUUGCUCUCUGGGUGGCGAGUGGCGGACGGGUGAGGAAUGCAUCGGAAUCUGCCCAUUUGUGGGGGAUAACCUCGGGAAACCGGGACUAAUACCGCAUACGACCUACGGGUGAAAGCAGGGGAUCUUCGGACCUUGCGCAGAUGGAUGAGCCGAUGCCGGAUUAGCUAGUUGGAGGGGUAAAGGCCCACCAAGGCGACGAUCCGUAGCUGGUCUGAGAGGAUGAUCAGCCACACUGGGACUGAGACACGGCCCAGACUCCUACGGGAGGCAGCAGUGGGGAAUAUUGGACAAUGGGCGCAAGCCUGAUCCAGCCAUGCCGCGUGUGUGAAGAAGGCCUUCGGGUUGUAAAGCACUUUUGUUGGGAAAGAAAAGCAGCCGGUUAAUACCCGGUUGUCAUGACGGUACCCAAAGAAUAAGCACCGGCUAACUUCGUG
rnacentral:rRNA from 1 species